CUGAGAGGCGAGGGGCCUUGCGGCCUCAGCGCCCCAGCUGUGCGCGGUCUGACCGAGAGAUCCUCCGUCUUGUCGGAAGCCGCCAGAGCACCUAAAAGCGGUGCCCUGAGCGCCUGAAAGAAGUCACUUCCCCCGGGGCAGCGCUUCGCUCUUCCGCACGCGCCUUCACCUACGGGGUGAGGUGCCGACGGCGGGGGCGUGCGCAGCUCCCUCGCGUGCGCCGGGCGUUUGGGGCCGGCUAUCCGCGAGCGGCGGGACCCUGCGCGCGCGUCGGCGGAGCGCCCGGAUGUCCGCCAGCUGCUGACCCCGCUCAGAGGUCGUGAAGUCACAGCCGCGCGCCCUCGACGGCAAACCUGGGUCCCAGCCGGGUGAAAACAAUCGCUCCGAGUUUCGAAACGGGCUUUAAUGUUACUUAUCUAAACUCCCUCUGUCUCCUGGCCUAUGUUGAUGACUCCCUGUGUUGCCCUGCAUGGUGCAUAGCCCUCCGGUUUCUAGAGAUCUAGCUCCCUACUGGCCAAAACCAUCCUAAGGCCAACUGAAAGGAAGCCCACUGAGGUACUCUACAAGUCCUCAGGAGGCCGGGAACAAAAGAUGUCCACACAGCGGAGGCCACCUGUCAAGAAAAUGAGGAUGGAAGAGCAAGUUUAUCAGGAAAAUAUGGUUGCCGAACAAUAGCUGACCUCGGUGGAUGUGGUCAAGAGAGCGCCCUGGUCGGCUUCCAGCAGGACCCCCCGAGAGGCCCUGGCAGACCAGGGUGAGGCUGUCCCCUCGGGUGGCUGGCUGUCUCCUGUGCUCCAGGCCGUCUCCGCAGAGCUCCUCCUCUGGAUCCCAGUAACUUCCCCCUUCGGAACCCUUCAGGGGCGGUUAUGCUCCUCUAGCCCCAGAAGUCCUCACUCUCCCUCCCUGCUUUCCCUCACCACAAAUGCACAUUUGAAAAUAGUCUUUGUGUUAAACUCUACCCAGGUAUGUUUGAGGGUACUGCCAGCAUCUUCCAAGGAACCCCAACAAAGACAGACUGAAGAGAUCGUGCCUCCUAGGGAAAGUGAGGGUCCUGAAAUAGGAGCAAGGCCAGGGAAUGGGUUGUUCUUGAGAACAGUUCAUUUUCCUUUGUUCUGGGAGGCAUAAUAUUUAACAGACAAAUAAAAAAUUUUCUAAUUCUUUUCAACUACCCUCC